AAACAAAAAAUGCAAGUAGAGAUCACAUAUGAAAUCAUAGGAGAUAUGCCAUUUACUACUCGUUUUGCCACUGUAUCGCAAUCUUUAGACAGUGUCGCCUUUUUUCAUUGUACUCCGAUACCCUCCUGUUUUCCUGUUGACUCCAUGAACCUACCAUGUGCCCAUUGUUAUACCCGUGUAUCUAUCUAUAAAUAUCCUUAAUCCUGUUGAAACGAUGGAACAGACAACCGCUCAUUUAGACUGGCUCGUUUGUCUGCUGUCUGUCUGUGUGUCUGCACUUCUGCACGUACACCUGUAAAAACACACACACACGUAUAUACGCGAACAUUCACGCACGCACACGUUUUGGUUGUUCGUCCUCUUCUUUUUUGCUGCUGCUGCUGCUGCUCGUAAUUUCUAGCAGGGAUCACAGCGGGCAUUCGCAAGAGCAACACAAUGGCGUAAAAGACUAUUCGACCGCGCAGCAUUUCCCCCCGUUGCGGUCAGAUUUGGGGGCGAAAAUCGCCGGACAACAGCUGUACCGCCGGCCACAGUAACUGCCAUCGCCUAUCGGUUGCAACAGACAAACGUAAUGGCGCAUAGAUUCUGUCGGCUAACAAUAACAACGACGACAAGACAAAAGAAGAAAUUUCAACUUUUCCGUCAAACUCCCAGAGGGCGCGCCGUUUUCGUCUGCUGCAACUGGUACCUGCGGUCCCCUCUCCCUCUUGCAUUGAUAUACAUGCGCACGUGUAUCUAUGUACAUUCGUUGUAGCGUUGUUGAAUUACGACUGAUUUUCUACACGAGCCAUUGAAGUCCAACAGAUCUUUUGCAGCGUCUACCGCUGGCUCGGGAUCGUUCGGCGGCUUUCGCAGUGGAUCGCCAUUGUUGUAGCGUGAUGUUUGGUUUUUAUGCGGUGCGCGAGCCCGGAGAUUUGGUAGCGGCUGUGGCGGCUGCAGUCACACGCUGCGAGCAGUAAAACGGCGUCGUGUUUUACUGUACGACGAUACGUACUACGACGCUUUCAUAUUUGUCGUUUGCAUGAAGUAUGUUCAGGGCUAUACGUAUAGAAGAGAAGUCAGUAGUCUAUCAAUGGACGCUAGCCGAUACACUGAUGUUAAGCACCUUUUAAAUAUCACAGUAAGAUAGCGCUCAUUGAAGUUUCGUUAUCGUAUCUUGUCGAUGUCGAGAUCAAAAGCCAAAUUGCUGGUAAAACUUUGAAGGUAAAAAUUACUCCCGACAAAGACUGCGGCGCGUUGUACCACACCGUUGUACCAGUAUAUCCAUGUGCCGUG